rnacentral:rRNA from 1 species
GACAGAGGAUGCGAACGUUGCUCGGAUUUACUGGGCGUAAAGCGCGUGUAGGCGGUCUUGUAAGUCGGGUGUGAAAGCCCGGGGCUCAACCCCGGAAGUGCACCCGAUACUGCGAGACUGGGGUACUGAAGAGGAGAGCGGAAUUCCCGGUGUAGAGGUGAAAUUCGUAGAUAUCGGGAGGAACACCAGUGGCGAAGGCGGCUCUCUGGGCAGAUACCGACGCUGAGACGCGAAAGCGUGGGGAGCAAAC